GAUAUAAACCAAUGUUGCCUCUGUGUCUCUAAAUUAAAUAUAUACACAUCUCCAAAGCAGUUUAUAGUAGCUAGCCAUUGCCCGUCGAUGCUGAUGAACAUUCUAGUUAUGGGAGGUUCAGCAGGUAAUAGUUCUUCAACAUGCUCUUCACGACGAGGUGUAAAAACAUGAACUAGUUCUGAGCUUCCUGCCUCCACCACCUAGA
rnacentral:misc_RNA from 1 species